UGAGUACGAGAUGCUACGGCAUCGAAGCAGUCUAUGUCAUACUUCCAAGAAAAGCUUGCACUGUCAGAAACAGAUAAUGCCUGUACCAUAACCGACACAGGUGGGUAGGUAGAGUAUACUAAGGGGCGCGAGAUAACUCUCUCUAAGGAACUCGGCAAAAUGACUCCGUAACUUCGGGAGAAGGAGUGCCUUAUUUUUAAGGUUGCAAUAACAAGAUCCAAGCAACUGUUUACCAAAAACACAGGUCUCCGCUAAGUCGUAAGACGAUGUAUGGGGGCUGACGCCUGCCCAGUGCCAGAAGGUUAAAGAAGUCGGUUAGCAUUCGCGAAGCUGGUAACUGAAGCCCUGGUGAACGGCGGCCGUAACAAUAACGGUCCUAAGGUAGCGAAAUUCCUUGUCGGGUAAGUUCCGACCCGCACGAAAGGCGUAAUGAUUUGGAUACUGUCUCGGAGAGGGGCUCGGUGAAAUAGACUUGUCUGUGAAGAUGCGGACUACCUGCACCUGGACAGAAAGACCCUAUGAAGCUUUACUGUAACUUGAAAUUGAAAUUGGACUUUAUUUGCGCAGUAUAGGUGGGAGGCGUUGAAAAUAUUCUUGCGGGAAUAUUGGAGCCAUCAGUGAGAUACCACUCUUGUAAUGUUAGAUUUCUAACUUUAUAUCAUUAUCUGGUUAAAGAACAGUUUCAGGCGGGCAGUUUGACUGGGGCGGUCGCCUCCCAAAUGGUAACGGAGGCGCACAAAGGUUUCCUCUGAACGGGUAGAAAUCGUAUCUAGAGUGUAAAGGCAUAAGGAAGCUUGACUGUGAGACCUACAAGUCGAGCAGGGACGAAAGUCGGUCUUAGUGAUCUGACGGUGCUGAGUGGAAAGGCCGUCACUCAACGGAUAAAAGUUACUCUAAGGAUAACAGGCUGAUCUCCCCCAAGAGUUCACAUCGACGGGGAGGUUUGGCACCUCGAUGUCGGCCCAUCGCAUCCUGGGGCGGUAGUACGUCCCAAGGGUUGGGCUGUUCGCCCAUGAAAGCGGUACGCGAGCUGGGUUCAGAACGUCGUGAGACAGUUCGGUCCAUAUCCGGUGUAGGCGUUAGAAUAUUGAGAGGAGCCUUCUUUAGUACGAGAGGACCGAGAAGGACAUACCUCUGGUGUACCAGUUAUCGUGCCAACGGUAAACGCUGGGUAGCUAUGUAUGGAGUGGAUAACCGCUGAAAGCAUCUAAGUGGGAAGCCCACCUCAAGAUAAGUAUUCUCA
rnacentral:rRNA from 1 species